rnacentral:rRNA from 1 species
CACGUAGGGCGCAAGCGUUGUCCGGAAUUAUUGGGCGUAAAGAGCUCGUAGGUGGUCUGCUACGUCCGCUGUGAAAAUCCAAGGCUUAACCUUGGGCUUGCAGUGGAUACGGGCAGACUAGAGGUAGGUAGGGGAGAAUGGAAUUCCCGGUGUAGCGGUGAAAUGCGCAGAUAUCGGGAGGAACACCGGUGGCGAAGGCGGUUCUCUGGGCCUUACCUGGACGA